UACGAAGGGGGCUAGCGUUGCUCGGAAUCACUGGGCGUAAAGCGCACGUAGGCGGAUCUUUUAAGUCAGGGGUGAAAUCCUGGAGCUCAACUCCAGAACUGCCUUUGAUACUGAGGAUCUUGAGUCCGGGAGAGGUGAGUGGAACUCCGAGUGUAGAGGUGAAAUUCGUAGAUAUUCGGAAGAACACCAGUGGCGAAGGCGGCUCACUGGCCCGGUACUGACGCUGAGGUGCGAAAGCGUGGGGAGCAAACAGG
rnacentral:rRNA from 1 species